GUAGGGAAUAUUGGACAAUGGGGGCAACCCUGAUCCAGCGACGCCGCGUGAGUGAUGAAGGCCUUCGGGUCGUAAAGCUCUGUUGCAGGGGAAGAACACAAUGACGGUACCCUGCUAGAAAGGAUCGGCUAACUUCGUGCCAGCAGCCGCGGUAAGACGAGGGAUCCUAGCGUUGUUCGGAAUUAUUGGGCGUAAAGCGGGUGCAGGUGGCUUGGUAAGUCAGAUGUGAAAGCCUGGGGCUUAACCCCAGAAGUGCAUUGGAUACUGCUGAGAUGGAGUGCUGGAGAGGCUAUUAGAAUUACUGGUGUAGUGGUGAAAUACGUAGAUAUCAGGAGGAAUACCGGAGGCGAAGGCGGAUAGCUGGCCAGACACUGACACUCAGACCCGAAAGCGUGGGGAUAAAACAGGAUUAGAAACCCCAGUAGUCC
rnacentral:rRNA from 1 species